GUAGGGAAUAUUGCACAAUGGAGGAGACUCUGAUGCAGCGACGCCGCGUGAGUGAUGAAGGCCUUCGGGUCGUAAAGCUCUGUCGCAGGGGAAUAACACAAUGAAGGUACCCUGUAAGAAAGGAUCGGCUAACUUCGUGCCAGCAGCCGCGGUAAGACGAGGGAUCCUAGCGUUGUUCGGAAUCAUUGGGCGUAAAGCGGAUGUAGGUGGCUAUGUAAGUCAGAUGUGAAAGCCUGGGGCUCAACCCCAGAAGUGCAUUUGAUACUGCGUAGCUUGAGUGUCGGAGAGGUUACUAGAAUUGUUGGUGUAGUGGUGAAAUACGUAGAUAUCAACAGGAAUACCGGAGGCGAAGGCGGGUAACUGGCCGAACACUGACACUGAGAUCCGAAAGCGUGGGGAUCAAACAGGAUUAGAAACCCGGGUAGUCC
rnacentral:rRNA from 1 species